GACGAACGCUGGCGGCGUGCCUAAUACAUGCAAGUAGACCUGAGUUGCGAACGGGUGAGUAACGGGUAGGAACCUGCCGCAUAGCGGGGGAUAACUAUUGGAAACGCUAGCUAAUACCGCAUACUGUGAGAUGGACCUGCGUUGGAUUAGCUAGUUGGUGGGGUAAAGGCCUACCAAGGCGACGAUCCGUAGCUGGUCUGAGAGGGUGAUCGGUCACACUGGAACUGAGACACGGCCCAGACUCCUACGGGAGGCAGCAGUGGGGAAUAUUGGACAAUGGGCGAAAGCCUGACCCAGCCAUGCCGCGUGUGUGAAGAAGGUCUUCGGAUUGUAAAGCUCUUUUAGUUGGGAAGCGUUACCAACCGAAUAAGCACCGGCUAACUUCGUGCCAGCAGCCGCGGUAAUAC
rnacentral:rRNA from 1 species